rnacentral:rRNA from 1 species
UACGUAGGGGGCUAGCGUUGUCCGGAAUCACUGGGCGUAAAGGGUGCGUAGGCGGGUCCUUAAGUCAGGGGUGAAAUCCUGGAGCUCAACUCCAGAACUGCCUUUGAUACUGAGGAUCUUGAGUUCGGGAGAGGUGAGUGGAACUGCGAGUGUAGAGGUGAAAUUCGUAGAUAUUCGCAAGAACACCAGUGGCGAAGGCGGCUCACUGGCCCGAUACUGACGCUGAGGCACGAAAGCGUGGGGAGCAAACAGG